CUGGCGGCGAGAACAGUAGCUGCCCAGGGACUAAGGGGGCUUCUGGGAGGACACACACUGGCCCAGGGUGAGGGGUGUCACUGCAGGGUGCCCCCCAGGCCCAGGGCCCGUCAGGGGACAGUAUGGUGACCUGGCCUACAGGUGGCAGUCGGUUCUGUGUGUCUGGGGCCCGCAGCACAGAUUCAGCACUCACUGCACCAUGUGCCGGCUGCUGCACACUCACCUCCACACCCAACUCACAGGAAGCGAGGCUGGGAAGGAGGGAACUGGCCCCAGGCCACACAGAUGCUGAGAGUUGGGAUUAUGAUCGGGUGCAGUGGCUCACGCCUGUAAUUCCAGCACUUGGGGAGGCCAAGGCGAGUGGAUUGCUUGAGCCCAGGAGUCUGAGACCAGCCUGGGCAACAUGGU
rnacentral:sRNA from 1 species